GGAGAGGUACCCAAGUGGUUGAAGGGGACGGUUUGCUAAAUCGUUAGUCGGGGAAACCCGAGCGAGGGUUCGAAUCCCUCCCUCUCCGCCA
rnacentral:tRNA from 1 species